rnacentral:rRNA from 1 species
CGAAGAACCUUACCAAGGCUUGACAUGGGCCGGUCCGGGCUGGAAACAGUCCUUCCCCUUUUGGGGCCGGUUCACAGGUGGUGCAUGGUUGUCGUCAGCUCGUGUCGUGAGAUGUUGGGUUAAGUCCCGCAACGAGCGCAACCCUCGUUCCAUGUUGCCAGCACGUGAUGGUGGGGACUCAUGGGAGACUGCCGGGGUCAACUCGGAGGAAGGUGGGGACGACGUCAAAUCAUCAUGCCCCUUAUGUCUUGGGCUUCACGCAUGCUACAACGGCCGGUACAAAGGGUUGCGAUACUGCGAGGUGGAGCUAAUCCCAAAAAGCCGGUCUCAGUUCGGAUUGGGGUCUGCAACUCGACCCCAUGAAGUCGGAGUCGCUAGUAAUCGCAGAUCAGCAACGCUGCGGUGAAUACGUUCCCGGGUCUUGUACACACCGA